rnacentral:rRNA from 1 species
GACGAACGCUGGCGGCGUGCCUAAUACAUGCAAGUUGAGCGCUGAAGGUUGGUACUUGUACCAACUGGAUGAGCAGCGAACGGGUGAGUAACGCGUGGGGAAUCUGCCUUUGAGCGGGGGACAACAUUUGGAAACGAAUGCUAAUACCGCAUAAAAACUUUAAACACAAGUUUUAAGUUUGAAAGAUGCAAUUGCAUCACUCAAAGAUGAUCCCGCGUUGUAUUAGCUAGUUGGUGAGGUAAAGGCUCACCAAGGCGAUGAUACAUAGCCGACCUGAGAGGGUGAUCGGCCACAUUGGGACUGAGACACGGCCCAAACUCCUACGGGAGGCAGCAGUAGGGAGUCUUCGGCAAUGGACGAAAGUCUGACCGAGCAACGCCGCGUGAGUGAAGAAGGUUUUCGGAUCGUAAAACUCUGUUGGUAGAGAAGAACGUUGGUGAGAGUGGAAAGCUCAUCAAGUGACGGUAACUACCCAGAAAGGGACGGCUAACUACGUG